rnacentral:rRNA from 1 species
GAUCGGCAGCUACACAUGCAAGUCGAGGGGUAUAAGUCUUCGGAUUUAGAGACCGGCGCACGGGUGCGUAACGCGUAUGCAAUCUGCCUUUCACAGAGGGAUAGCCCAGAGAAAUUUGGAUUAAUACCUCAUAGUAUUACGACUCGGCAUCGAGAUGUAAUUAAAGUCACAACGGUGAAAGAUGAGCAUGCGUCCCAUUAGCUGGUUGGUAAGGUAACGGCUUACCAAGGCGACGAUGGGUAGGGGUCCUGAGAGGGAGAUCCCCCACACUGGUACUGAGACACGGACCAGACUCCUACGGGAGGCAGCAGUGAGGAAUAUUGGUCAAUGGGCGCAAGCCUGAACCAGCCAUGCCGCGUGCAGGAUGACGGUCCUAUGGAUUGUAAACUGCUUUUGUACGAGAAGAAACACUGCUUCGUGAAGCAGCUUGACGGUAUCGUAAGAAUAAGGAUCGGCUAACUCCGUGCCAGCAGCCGCGGUAAUACGGAGGAUCCAAGCGUUAUCCGGAAUCAUUGGGUUUAAAGGGUCCGUAGGCGGUCAUGUAAGUCAGUGGUGAAAGCCCAUCGCUCAACGGUGGAACGGCCAUUGAUACUGCUUGACUUGAAUUAUUAGGAAGUAACUAGAAUAUGUAGUGUAGCGGUGAAAUGCUUAGAUAUUACAUGGAAUACCAAUUGCGAAGGCAGGUUACUACUAAUGGAUUGACGCUGAUGGACGAAAGCGUGGGGAGCGAACAGGAUUAGAUACCCUGGUAGUCCACGCCGUAAACGAUGGAUACUAGCUGUUGGGGAGCAAUCUCAGUGGCUAAGCGAAAGUGAUAAGUAUCCCACCUGGGGAGUACGAACGCAAGUUUGAAACUCAAAGGAAUUGACGGGGGCCCGCACAAGCGGUGGAGCAUGUGGGUUUAAUUCGAUGAUACGCGAGGAAACCUUUACCAAGGGCUUAAAUGCAGACUGACCCGAUUUU